rnacentral:rRNA from 1 species
AACGAACGCUGGCGGCAUGCCUAACACAUGCAAGUCGAACGCCUGUAGCAAUACAGGAGUGGCGCACGGGUGAGUAACGCGUGGGAACCUGCCCUGGAGUGGGGGAUAACCGAGAGAAAUUUCGGCUAAUACCGCAUACGACCUGAGGGUGAAAGAUUUAUCGCUCUAGGAGGGGCCCGCGUCGGAUUAGCUAGUUGGUGAGGUAACGGCUCACCAAGGCUACGAUCCGAGCUGGUCUGAGAGGAUGAUCAGCCACACUGGGACUGAGACACGGCCCAGACUCUACGGGAGGCAGCAGUGGGGAAUAUUGGACAAUGGGGGCAACCCUGAUCCAGCAAUGCCGCGUGAGUGAUGAAGCCUUAGGGUUGUAAAGCUCUUUCGGCGGGGACGAUGAUGACGGUACCCGCAGAAGAAGCCCCGGCUAACUUCGUGCCAGCCGCCGCCGUAAG